UUAAGUUCAGCGGGUAUCCUCACCUGAUCCGAGGUCAAUAUUGGGGGUGUGCUUCUGGAGAGCCGACCCGGCGAGCCUCAAGCGCGACUGUGCUGCGCUCGUGGCCUGCGGGUGCGGGCUGCCAAUGACUUUGAGGUGAGUCGCCGCGCGGGGCGGGACAAGCACCCAACACAAGCGGAGCUUGAAGGGUUAAAUGACGC
rnacentral:misc_RNA from 1 species